UAUCUUUAGUAUUAUGUCUUAAAAUUUUUACAUGGUUUUCAUAACCUUUUGCCUAAUAGCUGCUCACUGUCCAUCAAGUGGAUGUAACAGUUCCUUUUCUUGGGCAUUCCAGGCAUGUCUCAGUUUUUAUUGUUGCAAACAAUGCUAAAGUGAAUAUCAAUGUAAUUUUAGGAUAAUUUGGAUUGCUCUUUAGAAUCUAAGGCUACAUUCCCAGAGGUAGAAUUCCUUGAUCAGUGUGUGAGCUGUCCUGUGGCUUCCACUCCACCCUCCCAAUUUCUCUCCCCAAAAGCAAGUGCUAAAUUACAUUCUACUGUGAGAGUGUGCCCAGGAAGAAGGAAAACAAAUUUUUGAUAAACUGGUAGCAAUCUGCAACAAGACUCAAAAAGCAUGAGCCUUAUUAAAGAUUGAUAAAUUCAACUACAUUGCAUUAGGAAAAGACAACAUAGGAAUUAGAGUCCAUGAAGAUGAAAAGAUGCUCAAUGACGAAAUGUUUAUUGAGCACCGAGAAGUUGCCGGUCUCCAGGCUACAUGCCAGCAACAGAAACGCACAGAGGUUGCAGCUCCCACCGGGGCUACAGGAUACAGCUACUCAGGCUGUGCACUGCUCAACUCCAGGGGAUGCCCUCACAUCAAAGCUGUGUGGACGGGGCCCCUAGAGCUGCUAAGUGCACAACCUGUACAACCCUCAGAGCCCCGGCCCUGCUUCAGGGAGUGAAGAGUCCAGUGAGGAAGCAGAAGUUGCAUGGUAUCGAUCCAGGGGUCCACACUGCGAGGGGGCACAAGGGGCUGUGAGGACACCGGGCUCACCCCAUCCCCUCCUCUCAGAAGGUACUGCCAGUCCUGCCCCAGAAAAUAGCCCCUUACCUCCUCCCGCAUUCCCACCUCCCCAGACAGUCCUGCGCGUGUCCUCGCCCUCUUCUCUCCUCCCCCAGAGGAAGGGGCUGCCCUUCUAGUGACCCUUCCUCUGCCUCCACUCCAUCCUCUCUUUCUCCUGUCUCCUCCAGGGCCUAGAUCCAGUGACCAUGACACUCCCUUUUCUGUCUCCAUCCUCCUCCCCUUGUGACACAGGGAUUUACAUAAGAAACAGAUAUUUGAUCCUCCUGCCUGUUUCUGGCACAGAGUUCCUAAAACCCUUGAAAUUUCCUGUAACAGCAAAGGAGCGUCUUUUAAUAUCUAGGCUUUGUCCUUGGUUUCUGAAAUAGCUCCCGAGCAGCACAGGUCAGAGGAAUGUCUUGUUACUCCUGACAGGUCCCUUCAACGACACCUGAGUUUAUGCUAACGUGGCAACCGUGGAAAACACCCAGGCUGGGCUGGAGGCCUGGGUAACAGAGCACGUGAUGAGAGGGGGGCGCUUUCACCCCACCCCCUGAGGGGAGGGGAGGGGCUGGGGUCGAACCAGUCAUGUCAAAGGCUGAUGACUGGACCCGUCCCGCCCACGUAGGGCCCCCAUGAGAACCCAGAAAUGGCUGCUGCAUCGUGAGGGUGCUGGGAGGUGUGGAGCCGGGAGGGGCACGAGGCUCUGCUCCCCCCGCCCCGCCUCCCGCCCUGUGCAUCCCUUCCACAUGGCUGUUCCUGAGUUACAUCCUUUUACAACAAACCAGCAAGUAAACUGUUUCCUGAGUUCUGUGAGCCACUCUGGCAAAUUGAUGGACCCAGGGAGUGGGUCGUGUGGGCCCUAAUUUCUAGCCAGUGGAUCAGAAGCACAGGUGACAACCUGGACUGGUGAUUGGUGUCUGACGCCUGGGUGGGAGGGUGUUCUGACAAAUGCUACAGCAUGGAUGAACCUUGAGGACAUGAGGCUAAAUGCUCAGGCCAGACACAAAAGGACAAACACUGUAUGGUUCCACAUAUAUAAGAUACCUAGGCUAGUCAAAUUCAUAGACACCAAGUGGAAGGCUGGUUGCCAGGCGCUGAGUGGGCGGGGAAACAGUUAACUGUUUUUAUUACUGUUCAGUGGGUGCAGAGUUUCAGUUUGUGAAGAUGAAGAAAGUUCUGGAGAUGGGCCGUGGUGGUGGUUGCACAACAGUGUGAAUGUACUUAGUGCCACUGAACUGUACACUUAACAAAGGUAAAUUUUAUGGUAUGUGUAUUUUACCAGUAAAAGCUUUUCUUUCCUGGCAGUUCAAGUUACCUUCAGCUGGAUUCUUUCAAGGCUUGUUUUGAAGCUUUGUGAGGGUGCGUCACCCCCAGGAAAGGUUUGGGAUUUUAACGCCAUUUGGUUUGUAC